CCUACGGGAGGCAGCAGUGGGGAAUAUUGCACAAUGGGGGAAACCCUGAUGCAGCGACGCCGCGGGAGUGAAGAAGUAUUUCGGUAUGUAAAGCUCUAUCAGCAGGGAAGAAGAAAGACGGUACCUGACUAAGAAGCCCCGGCUAACUACGUGCCAGCAGCCGCGGUAAUACGUAGGGGGCAAGCGUUAUCCGGAUUUACUGGGUGUAAGGGGAGCGUAGACGGCUGUGCAAGUCUGAAGUGAAAGCCCAGGGCUCAACCCUGGGACUGCUUUGGAAACUGUGGAGCUAGAGUGCUGGAGAGGUAAGUGGAAUUCCUAGUGUAGCGGUGAAAUGCGUAGAUAUUAGGAGGAACACCAGUGGCGAAGGCGGCUUACUGGACAGUAACUGACGUUGAGGCUCGAAAGCGUGGGGAGCAAACAGGAUUAGAUACCCCAGUAGUC
rnacentral:rRNA from 1 species